rnacentral:rRNA from 1 species
ACGGAAGGCAGCAGUGGGGAAUAUUGGGCAAUGGGGGAAACCCUGACCCAGCAACGCCGCGUGAAGGAAGAAGGCCUUCGGGUUGUAAACUUCUUUUACCAGGGACGAUAAUGACGGUACCUGGAGAAAAAGCAACGGCUAACUACGUGCCAGCAGCCGCGGUAAUACGUAGGUUGCAAGCGUUGUCCGGAUUUACUGGGUGUAAAGGGCGUGUAGGCGGAGCUGCAAGUCAGAUGUGAAAUCCCGGGGCUCAACCCCGGAACUGCAUUUGAAACUGUAGCCCUUGAGUAUCGGAGAGGCAAGCGGAAUUCCUAGUGUAGCGGUGAAAUGCGUAGAUAUUAGGAGGAACACCAGUGGCGAAGGCGGCUUGCUGGACGACAACUGACGCUGAGGCGCGAAAGCGUGGGGAGCAAGCAGGAUUAGAUACCCUGGUA